rnacentral:rRNA from 1 species
CAGAUGAGAAGCUUGCUUCUCUGAUGUUAGCGGCGGACGGGUGAGUAACACGUGGGUAACCUACCUAUAAGACUGGGAUAACUCCGGGAAACCGGGGCUAAUACCGGAUAAUAUUUUGAACCGCAUGGUUCAAUAGUGAAAGACGGUUUCGGCUGUCACUUAUAGAUGGACCCGCGCCGUAUUAGCUAGUUGGUAAGGUAACGGCUUACCAAGGCGACGAUACGUAGCCGACCUGAGAGGGUGAUCGGCCACACUGGAACUGAGACACGGUCCAGACUCCUACGGGAGGCAGCAGUAGGGAAUCUUCCGCAAUGGGCGAAAGCCUGACGGAGCAACGCCGCGUGAGUGAUGAAGGUCUUCGGAUCGUAAAACUCUGUUGUUAGGGAAGAACAAAUUUGUUAGUAACUGAACAAGUCUUGACGGUACCUAACCAGAAAGCCACGGCUAACUACGUGCCAGCAGCCGCGGUAAUACGUAGGUGGCAAGCGUUAUCCGGA